rnacentral:lncRNA from 1 species
CCUGGAUAGCAGCACUGGGGCACUUGGUCCGGGCAGGAGGGCAUUAGACCCCCCAUGCAUAGCAGUAUGAAAGAAAACCUCCCUAAGGCACUGAGAUCAGGAUGUAAAUCACGUGACUAUGAUGGCUGCAUGCUCCUGUGCUUUGGUAUGAUUGGCCACCAGCAGUGCUGCAUGAAAGGAGAGGAACUGCGUCAGCCCCAUCAAAAGGCCAAGGAGGUGAACAGUCAAUCUGGUGCCAAGCUGCAGACUUGCUGCUUUUAUACAGAGGUGCAUGCCAUACUUGGUGGAAACCCCACCACCACCCUGCACACCACUGUGGAUACCUCUGAGAAGCCUGGGUCACAGGCCCUUGGCAUGAACAGAAAAAGCAAGGAGGAGGUGGAGGAUGAGGAUGAGGGACAUGUGACUGGGGGAUCCAGCUAUGCCAUGAGCCAGGACCUGUUUGUGACUGUACCACAGUCCAGUCCUUCCCAGCAGUUGAGCACAGGAAAGCUCGAUGCAGGACAAGGAACCUCAGCUACUUUUCUCCUUUUGCUUCACAGAUAUUAUGGAGUACCCAGCAUAUAGCCAUAACCAUUGAGAUUUUUUUUCACUCAGAUCCAAUCUUGUGAGUAAAUAACGCCAGUGUCCCUUCAAUCUACCAAAGGCACAUUCAACUGUAAUCCUGCACCUGCUGAGCCAGAAGUUGAAUCUUUCCUUGAUGCUAUUGAGGUGGCUUGUGUAUGGCUUCCUGAGCCAGGGGAGCAAGGGGUAGGCUGGGUUCCCCAUGAUCAUGACUGGCAAUUCAACAUCACCAAUGGUGAUCCGCUGGUUGGGCAAGAAAGUCCCUGCUUGUAGCUUUCUUAACAGUCCUGUGUUCUUAAAGAUACAAGGAUCAUGCACCUUCCCUGACCAGCCAACACUAAUAUUGAUCAACCAUCCCUGGUGAUCCACCAGCACUUGCAUAACCAUAGGAAAGUAGGCUUUUCUGUUGAUGUACUCCAUGGCAUGGUGGUCUGGUGCCAAAAUAGAGAUAUGCUUGCUGUCUAUUGCUCCAGCACAGUUUGGAAACCCCAUUGCUGCAAAUUUAUCCACUAUGUCCUGCACAUUGCCAAUAGUUACAGUCCUGCAUAGCAGGAGACAAUCAAUGGCCCUGCACACUUGCAUGAUCCCACAAUGGAUUUUCCAACUUCGAAAUGUAUUUUCCACUGACCAGUAGCAGUCCAGCAUUGCAAGUUUCCAUAGUGUGAUCAGCACUCACUUCUCCACUGUGAGUGCAGCUCUUGUCCCUGCAGUGGAAGACUAGGGCAAUCUCAGCACACAGAUCCAGGGAUGUGGCCUUGUGCAUGUAGAACUGAUUAAUUAAAUUGUUUUUAAUUGUUUACUUUAUUAAUGUAACUUAAUAAGUAACUUUUUAUGAAUUAAACAACAUUCAUUCAUAAAACUGGUUAUCCCAAUAACUGGCUAAUUGACAAUUAAGAUGCUUGUUAAGAGCCACAGCCUUCAGCCAGUUGCCCUUGUAAAUUUCACUGUCAGUCCCAUUCCUGCUUAAAUCACUGAGACUUGCACUGUUUCAGUACUGUAACUU